GAUGAACGCUGGCGGCGUGCCUAAUACAUGCAAGUCGAGCGAACAGACGAGGAGCUUGCUCCUCUGACGUUAGCGGCGGACGGGUGAGUAACACGUGGAUAACCUACCUAUAUGACUGGGAUAACUUCGGGAAACCGGAGAUAAUACCGGAUAAUAUAUUGAACCGCAUGGUUCAAUAGUGAAAGACGGUUUUGCUGUUACUUAUAGAUGGAUCCGCGCCGCAUUAGCUAGUUGGUAAGGUAACGGCUUACCAAGGCAACGAUGCGUAGCCGACCUGAGAGGGUGAUCGGCCACACUGGAACUGAGACACGGUCCAGACUCCUACGGGAGGCAGCAGUAGGGAAUCUUCCGCAAUGGGCGAAAGCCUGACGGAGCAACGCCGCGUGAGUGAUGAAGGUCUUCGGAUCGUAAAACUCUGUUAUUAGGGAAGAACAAAUGUGUAAGUAACUAUGCACGUCUUGACGGUACCUAAUCAGAAAGCCACGGCUAACUACGUG
rnacentral:rRNA from 1 species